rnacentral:tRNA from 1 species
UCCCUGGUGGCUCAGAGGUUAAAGCAUCUGCCUGCAAUGUGGGAGACCUAGGUUCGAUCCCUGGGUUGGGAA